AACGAACGCUGGCGGCGCGCUUAACACAUGCAAGUCGAACGAGAAGGCGUAGCAAUACGCUUGUAUAGUGGCGAACGGGUGAGGAAUACGUGGGUGACCUACCCUCGAGUGGGGAAGUAACCCGCCGAAAGGACGGGCGUAAUGCCGCGUACGCUUCCGUCCUCGCGGGGACGGAAGGAAAGUCAUGCCGUGGGCGAUGGCGCUCAAGGAUGGGCUCACGUCCUAUCAGCUUGNGGUUAGGGUAACGGCCGUACCAACGGCGUCCGACGGGUAGGCUGGUCUGAGAGGAC
rnacentral:rRNA from 1 species